GAGCAGAGUGACAGGUGGUGCAUGGUUGUCGUCAGCUCGUGUCGUGAGAUGUUGGGUUAAGUCCCGCAACGAGCGCAACCCUUGAUCUUAGUUGCCAUCAUUUAGUUGGGCACUCUAAGGUGACUGCCGGUGACAAACCGGAGGAAGGUGGGGAUGACGUCAAAUCAUCAUGCCCCUUAUGACCUGGGCUACACACGUGCUACAAUGGACGGUACAAAGAGCUGCAAGACCGCGAGGUGGAGCUAAUCUCAUAAAACCGUUCUCAGUUCGGAUUGUAGGCUGCAACUCGCCUACAUGAAGCUGGAAUCGCUAGUAAUCGCGGAUCAGCAUGCCGCGGUGAAUACGUUCCCGGGCCUGUACACACCGCCCGUCACACCACGAGAUUUAGUAACUCCGAAGUC
rnacentral:rRNA from 1 species